CAAUUAAUAUCCAAUAAGCUUUUGCUUAUCAGAUAGUCAACUAGUCAUUCACAUCUCUGCUUCAGGGACAACGUGACAGAAAAGCAAGAAAACAGAAUUUACAAUGGAACUUCUUAACCACAGAAACUUUACUCAAAGCAUUCCAGAGUUACAGAUCUUUGAAACUAACUGAAGAGUGAGACACACCCUCUUUUGGACUGGUCUUACCCUUUCUGUGACUCUGAGGUCUGUAAGUGAUUUCAGGAAGGCAGAGUUCUUCUUCCCUUCAUACGUCUGCAAGUCCACCUUUUAUUUGGCCAUGGUUGUUCCAAAUCUCCACCCACUUUUACACAAAGAAGAAUCCUACUUAGGGUCUCCCCUCUGUGACAUGUACAUAACUGACUCUCCAGCCACACCUCUGUUUUGCUUGCCUGACUGACAGUCUCCUGUGUAGAAAAGCCAUUAUUACAUGGAGUUGAACCUGGCAGCUGAGAACCAAUCAAAGUCAACAGCUCUUGGUGUCAACAGCUUUCCUAGACAAGACAACUAUCUGAAUGAAAUACAAUAAGUUAUUCCAGGGGGAAAAAAGAGGAUACAUGCAUGCACCGAGUACACAGACUUCUUGCUUUCAGUUUCUAUGCUUAGUGCUAAAACGGUUGCUAGCUAUCAAGAGCAGGAACUGCAGGGAAACACCUGCUCAACAUCUGUAGCAUUGGGCAGGCGCACACACAGUGCAAAUGGAAUCUUGAGACAGACAAUUUAAACUGUCAAACUAACAAGUCUCUAGUAAGUAUAAGCCAAUGGCAGGUUUUGGGAGGCUUUUAACUUGGUCAAAUUUGGGCAGAUUUUCAUGGAAGGGACAAAAGAUGCAUGACUGACAUCAGAAUGACACCUCUGCUAAAUAAACUUCAAGACCAUACUCCAAAGCAUGGAUAUGCUUCAACUUCCCAAUGAAAUGGAGGAACUGGGCAGCAGCACUGCGGCAGCCAGCCCCUGCCACUACCCCCUCAGAUUGGGACAGACAACCUGCAAAUACAUGGAACCACAAACAGCGAUUGUGCAAAUCAAAAGGGCCUCCUGUACCGAUUUGUAUCUUCAUUCCAUUUUAAUUUGGUUUUGUCAAAGAAUAAUUAAGACUA